rnacentral:rRNA from 1 species
AAGUCGUAACAAGGUUUCCGUAGGUGAACCUGCGGAAGGAUCAUUAGUGAACGCCCUCACGGGCUUAUAACUAUUCCAAACCUCUGUGAACCGUGCCCUUUGGGGCUAUUUUACAAACAUGGUGUAAUGAACGUCAUAUAUCAUAACAAAACAAAACUUUCAACAACGGAUCUCUUGGCUCUCGCAUCGAUGAAGAACGCAGCGAAAUGCGAUAAGUAAUGUGAAUUGCAGAAUUCAGUGAAUCAUCGAAUCUUUGAACGCACCUUGCGCCCUCUGGUAUUCCGGAGGGCAUGCCUGUUUGAGUGUCAUGUAGACUCAAUCCCUCGGGUUUCCGAGGAGAUUGGACUUGGGUGUUGCCGCUCCGCCGGCUCGCCUUAAAAGACUUAGCGGGAUAGCACCGUAGUCGGCGUAAUAAGUUUCGUCGGUGAAGGUUGUGAUGACUGCUUACAAUCGCCCUCGGGCAAUUUUUGACUCUGACCUCAAAUCAGGUAGGACUACCCGCUGAACUUAA